AUACGGAGGGUGCAAGCGUUAAUCGGAUUCAUUGGGCGUAAAGAGCGCGUAGGCGGGAAGGCAAGUCAGAUGUGAAAGACCGGGGCUCAACCCCGGGACCGCAUUUGAAGCUAUUUUUCUUGAGGAUAGGUGGGGAAAGCGGAAUUCCACAUGUAGCGGUGAAAUGCGUAGAGAUCUGGAGGAAUACCGAUGGCGAAGGCAGCCAUCUGGCCUAACACUGACGCUGAGGUGCGAAAGCAUGGGGAGCAAACAGGAUUAGAAACCCCAGUAGUCC
rnacentral:rRNA from 1 species